GGGGAUGUAAAGGCUUCGACGGGGUCGCGGAGACUCAGGGAGCGAGCCGCAGUGGGUACUGCGAUAAAAACCCAAACUUUAAAAUUAAACGCUAACAAUAGUGUAGCUUACGCUGCCUAAUUUAGGCGGCUGCCCUCCCGGGAUAACCGCGGUCCCGGUGCAGAGUAUCAUCUGAGCGGUGAACGCGAGUGCGCAAAGCUUUGAGCGCGCCGUGAAUUAAUGAAGCUACCGAGCUGUCGGGUUUGUUUGUGAACCCGACCGUGAGGGAAUUUUAAUCACAAACUACGCUCGUAGCGCCCUGUGGGGACGCUUCUUCGGACAGGGGUUCGAUUCCCCUCAUCUCCACCA
rnacentral:tmRNA from 1 species